GAAUCGAUCAAUAGCUUGAUACAGCUCCCAUAUAAACCUUUAUCGUUGUUGUGGUGAAACAAGCCACUGUAAUGUUGUUUAUAUUUACAUUAAUCAUCAUCUGAGUUCGAUAUCGCUUUACGCACAUGAUAUUGAGUUGAAUCUCUUGAAAGCAAUUGCAUUGUGAAGCUAUUUUUGAACUAAGCAACUCAACUCCAUUGUGGCAUCCAUUCAUAGAUUAUGAAUGUAUAACGUUAUACCCAUAACAAAUACUGAACUUUUUAGUUUAUUUAAUUGAUUCAAGACAAAAAGACGCGUAUAAUUCUUAAAAUGGCAACAAAGGAAGCUUUAAAAUUUGGAAUUGUCAUAGGCUGCUUAAAUUGCAUAUAUUUCCUAAUAGCCGUGGCCAUAGCAGGCAAAGAAUUGGUGGAUAUAUCUCUCAUGCCUGUUAAACCAGAUUUCUUUUAUCUGGUGGUGAUUAUUUUCAGCUAUAGUGUAAUUAUGGUCAUUGUAUCGGCUCUGCUCGCAUGGGGGGCCUUAAGGAAAAAUCCCCGUCUCAUUGCACCCUGGGUAAUUCUCAGUGCUUUGGCUAUGAUCGUUAGUUCGGUGUAUUUAAUGUUCAUAGGCCACACCAUACAACUCUGGGAAUUAUUUUCCUGUGUAACAUUUAUUGGUAAGAUUUGUUCAUACUCUUUGUCUUAUU
rnacentral:sRNA from 1 species